AUGGUUGGCACAGUCCGGAGAUCUUGGGUUCUCUUUUCUGUCCUAAUCUUGUUUCUUCUCGACUCCUAUGGAGCUGAAGCCAACAACAACAAUGUUACAUGUGUAGGUUUAAUCAUUGAUGUUAAUACUCGUAUUGGAAAAGAAGAGAAAAUAGCGAUGGAAAUUGCAGCUCAAACCUACAACACAAGUUCAAAGACUCAAAAACUCUCUCUCUAUAUCCAGGACUCCCUUAGAGUCACUUCUGCUGUAGAAGAGAUGAUUAGAGAAAAUAGGGUUAAGGUGAUUAUUGGCAUGCACACAUGGCAAGAAGCAGCUCUAGUAGCUGAUAUUGGAAGUCAAGCUCUUGUUCCGGUUAUUUCGUUUGCGGCACCAGCCAUCAAUCCACCUCUAAUGCAACUUCGCUGGCCGUUCUUGAUACAAAUGGCUAAAAAUGGUUCCGAACAAAUAAAAUGCAUUGCAAAUAUUGUUCAAGCAUACAAUUGGAAAAGGGUUGUAUUGAUUUAUGAAGAUGAAGCAUUUGGUGGUGAUUCCGGAAAGUUGGCACUUUUAACUGAGGCUCUCCAACAUGUGGGUUCGGAGAUUGAUUACCAUUUGGUCCUUCCACCAUUUUCUUCUAUGUCUGAUCCAGGAUGGGUUGUUCAUGAAGAGCUUGUUAAGUUACUGAAAACACAAUUAAGAAAUUUUAUUGUUCUUGAGUCAUCAUUAGAAAUGGCGAUUCAUUUGUUCAGGGAAGCUAAGAAUAUGGGGUUUGUAAGGAGAGAUUCAACUUGGAUAAUUCCAAAUAGUAUUACAAGUUUGUUGGACUCUGUAAACAACUCGGUUAUUUCCUCUAUGGAAGGUGCAAUUGGAAUUAAAACCCAUUAUUCUGAAGAAGUUACCUCAGAGUACCAUGAUUUCCAUGCUCAGUUCGGAAAAUUUUCAGAACUGAAUAUCCAGAGGAAGACAACUCCGACCCUGGUUUUUAUGCUCUGCGAGCAUAUGAUAGCAUUAGAAUUGUUAUACAAGCGAUCGAAUGAAUGACAAGUAACAGAGGUAGUCCAAAGAUGUUGUUAGCCAGUAUGUUAUUAAGCAAUUUCACUGGUUUUAGUGGCAAAAUACAUUUUAAAGCAGGCCAGCUCUCAGACACUUCAAUUUUGAGCAUUGUACACGUUCUUGGAAAGAGAUACAAAGAAAUAGAGUUCUGGACACCAGACUCAGGGUUCUCCAUGAUCCCUUCUAUAGGAAAACCAAAUACUUUGGUUGCUCCCGUAAUUUUGCAGAGGAACUUACAAGAAAGUCCAAAAGUUUGGGAAAUGCCUACUGAUGCAAAGCCAUUGAAAAUUGGAGUUAGAGGUAGAGCAUCAUUUGGGAAUUUUGUGAAGGUUGAUUACGGGGUGAAACUGAAUGAGAACAAUUAUUCUGGUUUCUGCAUUCAAAUUUUCCUUAAGGCACGAGAACUUUUGGGAUAUCCUUUGCCUUAUAAAUUGGAGGCCUGUAAUUGCACCUACAAUGAUCUGGUUCACCUUGUCCACAAUAAGACUUAUGAUGCUGCCAUUGGUGACUUGACUAUAACAGCCGAACGGCUGCAAUAUGUAGAUUUCACUGCUCCAUACAUCGAGUCAGGUGUGGCAAUGAUAGCUCCGGCUAAACCUGUAGGGUCAGCAUUUAUGUUUACAAAGCCUUUCACCUGGGACAUGUGGUUGGUGACUAGUGCCAUCUUAAUAUACACAGUGCUCAUAGUUUGGUUGUUGGAGCACCAAUCCAAUCCAGAAUUCAGUGGCUCGUGGAGGAAUCAGAUUAGCACUGCACUCUGGUUCACUUUCUCCUCUCUGUUUUUUGCACAUAGGGAGAAUAUCCAUAACAACUUGACACGUUUGGUGAUGGGAGUGUGGCUUUUUGUCGUAUUGAUCCUAACCUCGAGCUAUACCGCUAGUUUAUCUUCAAUGCUCACUGUGCAAAAGCUGGAACCAAAUUAUAUGGAGUUGUUAAAGAAGAACAACUUACCAGUUGGCUGUACCAAUUUGUCAGUAAAGAAAUACCUGGUGAAUGCGUUUGAGUUCAAGGAACAGAAUAUCAAGAUCAUAGACAUAAAGCACUCCAAGCUUUUCAAACAAGAGAAAAUAUUUGCUGUCUUUCUUGAAUUCCCAUAUGAGGAAAUUUUCCUUAAUAAGAAUUGCAAGGAUUACACUAGUACCAGACUACAUACUCACGGAUUUGGAGGAUUGGGCUUUGUCUUCCAGAGAGGCUCGCCAAUUACAAGGGAUUUUUCUGAAGCAAUUCUUAAGUUGUCGGAGGCUGGAACUAUCUUGUCACUAAAGAAAAAAUGGUUAACUCCCCAAAAUGAGUGCUCCGCCAACAUAACUUCUAGCGAACCUGAAAGCUUGAGCCUCCAAAGCUUUGGGGUUCUCUAUCUAAUAUCUUUUGUCACUUCUACCAUUUGUCUUUUAUUAUUCCUAGUUCGCUUAUUUAUAAGUCAUCUGCAACAUCACAAUGCUUUCAAAGGAAACAUAACUCCAGGGGAAGAGAGUACUUGGAAGAAGGCAGUUAGACUUGUAAGAUACUUCUGUAUCAAAAAUCUAAGAAGAGCUCCAACUCUGGCAGACACAUCAGGUGCAAAUGAUCAUUCAACACUUGAUUAAGCCGUGCAUCUCAUGGGCAUAAUACUAGUGCUUAAGGAAAAUAAAUACCUACGGCUCUUUUUCCAGACCAAACCAUUCUCAUAUUUUUAAGGGCUCUUAGUCCUAAGGAU